GCGUAACUCUCUCUGCAGGAGACCCGGGCUCAGUUACAAAAGACUCUGGGUUGGCAGAAACAGUGCUCCCACUUUUUCAGAAGUGAUUGGGUCUGGAAUGGCUGAAUUACAUGAUGUGCUUCUGCGAGAGGAUGGCAGACUAGCUGGGGCCAGGUAGCCAGGGCUACCUGAAACACCAGGAAAUAACUAUUAGUUCAUCUCAUGAACCAGACACAAUAGUGCUAACAGAAAAUUUGCCUCUAAAUAGGUCAUAAAAUCCCAGCCAAACUUUCGCACACAGCAUGAUCAAUGGCAUCCUAGUUUUUUAUUAAUAUUCAUUAUUAAUUUAAUAUUGAUAUUAUUAAUAUUCAUUUGAGCUUAUAAAUGUAUAUAAAAUGUAUAUGAACACUAUAGUCAAGAAAUUGAAAGGAUGGAAUGUCUUUAUAGUAGCUUGUUUUGCCAAAUUACCUAAGGGUUUUUUUGUUUGUUUGUUUGUUUGUUUUUGAGGCGGAGUCUUGCUCUCUCGCCAGGCUGGAGGGCAGUGGCACAAUCCUGGCUCACUGCAACCUCUGCCUCCCGGGUUCAAGCGAUUCUCUUGCCUCAGCCUCCCAAGUAGCUGGGACUACAGGUGCACGCCACCAUGCCCAGCUAAUUUUUGUAUUUUUAGUAGAGCUGGAGUUUCACCAUGUUGGCCAGGCUGGUCUCGAACUCUUGACCUCGUGAUCUGCCCGCCUCGGCAUCCCAAUGUGCUGGGAUUACAGGUGUGAGCCACUACACCUGGCCAAGUUUUUUUUUUUUUUUUUAAAGUACUUUCCAGGCCGGGUGAGGUGGCUCACACCUGUAAUCCCAGCACUUUGAGAGGCCAAGGCAGGUGGAUCAUGUGAGGUCAGGAAUUCGAGACCAGUCUGGCCAACAUGGUGAAACCCCAUCUCUAUUAAAAAUGCAAAAAUUAGCUGGGCAUGGUAGCACAUGCCUGUAAUCCCAGCUACUCAGGAGGCUGAGGCAGGAGAAUCACUUGAACCUGGAAGGCAGAGGUUGCACUGAGUGGAGAUCAUGUCAUUGCACUCCAGCCUGGGGAACAAAGAGCAACACUUCAUCUCAAAAAAAAAAAAAAAAAAAAGGUACUUUCCCAGAUGUCAUGCCUUCCUUACCAAUGCUGUAAUUUUCCUAAUUUCACGCACAGCUCACAUAUGGUAUAUUUCAGCCAGCGAGAGCUCAACUAACUGCAGAACAUCCAGCACUGCAUGUCAUAUCGUGUCACCCACUUGCUGAGGGCAAGCCCAGCAUGGUUUGGUCUGAAGCUGACUUGAAGAGCUGAGAGUUCAAGACUUGUCACUGGGUCCCAAAAAGGCCCUGUGAGCCUGGAGGCAGAGCCCAGUCCUGUCUCAACCACCAGGCUCAGGACUGGGGGCUUUCCCGAGGAUAGAGUCACACGCGCGCGCACACACACACACACACACACACACACACAUUCAUUCUGUUCGAUGGUGGAGCUCCUUCCUUAUGGAGAGACACUUUUCAAUAAAAAGAACAUAUAGGUUGCUUCUCCUGCAAGCUGCACUGGCCUUCCGCUAGCCCCAGAACCUCUCCUAUCCAGGCAGUCCCUCUCUGGGCUGGGAGUCACCAGCACUGUUCUUAAGAGCUCCCUGGCAUUACUUUUCCCAAUGACUGGAAGUUCUUGAUAGCAGGAGCUAUGACUGGCUUUUUGAAGUUUCUUACAGCACUUUUAAAGAAAUAUAUACUUUAAAAAGUAACCCAAUGAGCAGCAGGCACUUUAUUUAAUUUUAAAGUAGCUUCUAAUCCUGGUUUGUGGUAUAGGCAUGCAUUUUACAAAGUCUCGAUUACGAUGAACAUCUUCCUUUGUAUUUUAAUUUCUGCCUUAGCAUCCUACUGCGUCCACAUUCCCAUGUGUUUCAGUUACCUAUUGCUGUGUAAUAAACCAGCCAAAAACUCAGUGGCUUAAAACAACCUUGAUUGUUUCUCAUGAUCCUGUGCGUUGGCAGGGAGGUUCUUUGGCUUCACGAGUAUUGCUCAUGUGCCUGCACUGAGCUGGGAGCUCUGUCCUUCUUCCUGUGCUGGCUAGCCAGGACUU
rnacentral:lncRNA from 10 species